CUCUAACUCAACAGCUUGGCUAUUUUUGCUUGUAUUUUCCAUUUGGUUUUGUGAUUAAUUCGCUAUUUAGACAUAUCAUAGCAGGUCUGGCUUCAUAUUUACCUACCUUCUUUAUCCACAGUGAAACAAACAUUUGUGGAUACUUUCAAAUAGAUCAACUAACCUAUACUUUUUGCACAUUUUUAGUGAAGGGAUCAUCAUUGGAAUUUAGAGAAUAUGUAGUUCUGGUCUGCUUUGGGUUUUUUCCCUCUUUUUUUUAGGUUUUCCAUUUUGAAACCUUGCCCCGCUUCCUGGUAAUGGGCCAAAUGGUUUCCCACUUCUCUGAGUCACCCAGCUGUGAAAGCUUGGUGCCUUUUUCAUUGCCAUUCGUUGGCAGAGAGUGCUAGUUGACAACUUUCAUGCAAUUAAUGCAAUUCCAC